UUUAUUUUAACCCUAGGCAUUGGUUUGCAAGUUUACUUUUGAUCUGUCGCUCUUGUCUCUCCUGUUGUAUUGUCUUUGAAUGUCAGUUGUGUUGGUUCCUGCCCUGUUUCCUGAGUCCUCCCUGGUCGCUGGUUCUUCUGACCUGACAGACAUUCUGGUGCUUCAAGAGUUCCCAUCAACAGAGUCAAGCCUGUGGUUCCUUGAGUUGCUACCAGUUGUGUUGGUUCCUGCCCUGUUUCCUGAGUCCUCCCUGGUCGCUGGUUCUUCUGACCUGACAGACAUUCUGGUGCUUCAAGAGUUCCCAUCAACAGAGUCAAGCCUGUGGUUCCUUGAGUUGCUACCAGGUCUCCUUUGCCACAGAGUCUGGAACUACCUCCUUCCGACCAGCCUGUUCUCCUGUCGUGUGCCCUGCCCUAUUGUGUGGACUGUCUUCCUGCCUCAUCUGUUUGUGUUCUCUCUCUUGUUAAUAAACUGUUCUCCCUGUUAAUUCUGCAGUUGGGUCCUCCCUUGCCAAACCCUGACAAGAAUAUAUCCUCUAUCGUAUUCUACAGCAAAAACAAUCAGACCGCCUUGCUAUCACUAGUUUUAUUUUGAUUUCCCGAGUCCACUAUUAGCUUAUAGUCCGUUAGCAUCGCCAGCGUGGUUGCCGCUAAACCCGUGUGCAUUGCUAAUACUUUAUUCACACACAUUACCAUUGCUUUACUCACUGUUAUUUGCUUUAAUGGCGGAUGUAUGUCUACCUUUGAGUGCAGGUGAUGACACGUUCCGAAUGCAGCUCGAGCUGGAGGCCGUGGAGAAGCAGAUUCGGGUCCUGGAGGAGAGGCAGGCCCAGCUGAAAAAGUGGAGAGCCGCGCUGGAAACCUCCCGGGCUGAUGCACACAAGUCCAGGGUAAGUAUACAGUGGGCUGCUAACAGUCCCACCACCUCUAGUCCAUGUGUUUCUCUGCACAGGCCCAGUGCACCCAGGACGCAAUCUUCCCAGAUGUCCUUCACUCCGGCACCGGGACACCACGGACCCUGAGUACAAGCAGAGCGGAGGAUGCGAGCCAGGCCGGGGUGUUGACCUCUCCCCCUCCGGUCUUCGAGAUCUCCACAAGGAACCGCUUCUCUCCCCUCCGCGAGACAGAACGCGACACUGUGAUGAUACCCACGAUCCUGAAGGCCGACGAGAGCCCCAGAGCGGUCGUGCUUCACGCCGGGGUUAACGACACCAUGCAGCGGCAGACGGAGACACUGAAGAGGGACUUCAGGAGCCUGAUCGAGACGGUGCGCAGCACAACGCGGUGAUGAUCAUAGUGUCAGGACCGCUUCCCAUGUAUCGACGAGGACACGAAAGGUUCAGUAGACAUUUUGCUUUAAAUGAAUGGUUAUUGUCAUGGUGUAAAGAACAGAAACUGCUCUUUGUUAAUAAUUGGAAUCUGUUCUGGGAGCAUCCUAGGCUUUUUUGCGCUGAUGGCCUGCACCCCAGCAGAGUCGGAGCGGAACUCCUCUCGGACAACAUCUCCAGGACUCUACACUCCAUAUGACUACUCCAGUCUGGAUCCAGAACACCUAAGAAGAGAUGAUGCCAACCCUUCAGAGGACCUCAGAUGAUGCUAACCCUGAAACAACAUACAGAACUACCACAUUUUGCUAUAAGUUUGAUUGCAUAAUUGCUGUUAAUAGUGUUAAUCGUCUGUUUGAUUACGACUUUAAUCGAUUUUUCCGAACAUUUCUGCCAUAUGCACAUAAACUGACAGUCAUCACUGAUAAGCUACUACUAAAUAUUGCAG
ensembl:lncRNA